CCAAUAGCGUAUAUUAAAGUUGUUGCAGUUAAAAAGCUCGUAGUUGAAUUUCGGGGUCAGUAGGCUGGUCGUGCCUCAGGUACGUACUGGUCUUACUGAUUCCUCCUUCCUGACGAACCGUAAUGCCAUUAAUUUGGUGUUGCGGGGAAUCUGGACUGUUACUUUGAAAAAAUUAGAGUGUUUAAAGCAGGCUACAGCUUGAAUACAUUAGCAUGGAAUAAUGAAAUAGGACGAUCGAUCCUAUUUUGUUGGUUUCUAGGAUUGACGUAAUGAUUAAUAGGGAUAGUUGGGGGCAUUAGUAUUCAAUUGUCGGAGGUGAAAUUCUUGGAUUUAUUGAAGACUAACUACUGCGAAAGCAUUUGCCAAGGAUGUUUUCAUUAAUCAAGAACGAAAGUUAGGGGAUCGAAGACGAUCAGAUACCGUCGUAGUCUUAACCAUAAACUAUGCCGACUAGGGAUCGGAUGAUGUUAAUUUUUUAAUGACUCAUUCGGCGCCUUACG
rnacentral:rRNA from 1 species